ensembl:lncRNA
CAAGCUACAGACCUUUGGAUUCAGCAGUUCCCUCUGCUGCAGUUGGAGUUCCCCAAGGUCGAUCUGAAGGGACCACGGGGCAGACUGCCUGGCCAGGGCCUGGAAACGGCUGUGUCAACCCAGGGCGAUGCCUUCAUUGGUGUGCAAGUGAGUUUGGAGCUGUGGAAAAUGAGAUGAGUCAAAGGCCAUGCUUGCCCGAGACCAACAUUUUCAGAAAGCGCGACAGGGCCUUCCUUCGCCUCAGCCAGUCUGGUCCAUCUCUCCACUCUCGGACUCCAUUCGAACCCUCUAGACUGAAUUUUCCCCAACGGAUGGCUUAGACAUCACGAGGAGCACCAGCUGGAACCCUGUUUUUCCCCUGCCUGGCUCCCCAGUGGUGCAGCAUUUACCACGGUUUCCCUUUGCCUCUAGUGGAGCAAUGAUGGAUGAGGAAUCUCCUGAAAACUCCGUGCAGUGACUGCUCUGACCUUCUGAACGGCCUGGAUAGGUAGAAGCUGAUGCCAAUUUCAGUGAAAACUGACUGGGAAACGUCACUGUCGAAUCCCUUUCGAUAUCCCGGUGACCCCUGCUCCAACGUGGGAGCCGACCCAGGGCAGAGUCAAGAGCAGGACAGGCCGGGCCCUUCCCAGGAGACCCCGGCUACAUGCGCUAGGGGACUGGCUUCCGGCAGAGCUGGAGUAAGAGAACGAUAAUCUUCGAGAUUCAGACAUUCUCAUGGCAUCUGGAAGUUGUUGGUGUUUUUCAUGGGGGAAAGUUGCUGACAAACAUUGUCCCUGUAGAGGCGACUCCUAUUUUCUAGGUCUGGCUCCUGAAGGGUUGCCAUGGGGGGAAAAGGGAAUGAGAUCAGUGCUGUAACUGAACUCCUCUGCCUUCCUGGGCACCACUGUCCCCACCACAAAGCGUCGGUGAUGGUAACCAUGGAAGUAACUCCAGAGAAGCUCUGUCGGGCGGGGCAGCGGGAUGAGACAGUCAUGCAGGCAUGUUGGCAACACACAUGAUCCCAGCGUGCAGGGAGGCUGAGGCAGGAGGAUUACAACUUCGAGCCCAGCCUGGGCAACUUGGCCAGACUCUGUCUCAAAAUAAAAAAAUUAAUCCAGGAAUUUAACUCAGUGGUUUCGCCGCCUGCUGCACAAGCGCAAGGACCCAAGUUCGAUCUCCGGUACCAAAAAAAAAAAUUAAAGUAAAAAAAUUAAAAAAUGACUGCAGAUAUUGUUUAGUUUGCUCUACUUACGCUCUGUGUUCAGUCCCAGUACUAUAAAAAUCAAAUCAGUCAAAUUUUAAAACAGAUGAUGCAUGUAAUGCUAGUCUUAGUGCUAUGCCUGGAACAUUAUGUCUUCAGUAUACAGGCAGGUGUGGUGGUGCACACCUGUAAUCCCAGCACUCGGGAAGCUGAGGCAGGAGGAUCACCAUGAGUUUGAGGCCAGUCUGGGUUGCAUAGUGAGUUCAGAACCACCCUGAACUACAUAGCAAGACCUUGUCUCAAAAAACCAGAACAAAACAAAAAAUGAGUUUACAGUAUUCAACUGCCUUGGGAGGCCACAUCUGCUAAGUAAGUCCUUCUCCUUUAACACAGGGUUCUUACAUAAUUUUGGACUCUCUGAUGCCUGGA